rnacentral:rRNA from 2 species
UACGUAGGGGGCAAGCGUUAUCCGGAUUUACUGGGUGUAAAGGGAGCGUAGGCGGUCUGACAAGUCAGAAGUGAAAGCCCGGGGCUCAACCUCGGGACUGCUUUUGAAACUGCCGGACUAGAUUGCAGGAGAGGUAAGUGGAAUUCCUAGUGUAGCGGUGAAAUGCGUAGAUAUUAGGAGGAACACCAGUGGCGAAGGCGGCUUACUGGACUGUAAAUGACGCUGAGGCUCGAAAGCGUGGGGAGCAAACAGG